AAGCAAUUCAGAAUCACAAAAUUGGAAGGAACGUUGGAAGUUUUAUUUAGCCUAACCCCUUGCCAUAACAGGAAUCCUCAGACCGUUCCCAACAAAUGGCAGUCUGACCUUUGUUGAAACUUUCACUGAUAAGAGCAUCCACCACUCCAGGAGGCUGUGAAUAAGUUAGCAAAAGUUAUGAAUCAUAAUAAUCCAGUUGAACCAAUCACUGACACAGAUGUCAGAAGAAAAUAAAAGAACAAGAAACUGCAUAGUGAGUCAAAAACUGAACAUGAAAAAGGCACUGAUAACUAAAUAUGAGGAAGUGAUUGAUAAAAUUAAGCUAAAACUUCAGCAAAUAAAAAAAUCCAGCACUAAAGAGAGGAUACCAUCCAAUGUCAUUCUUAACAUAAACAUUAGAUUCUACCAUGCUAUGUAGCGUAUCUCAUGUAUUUUCAGUUUUGGAGACUGAAUCCUUCCAAUGAAUGAAAAGUUACAUGUUUUACAGUCUUUUACUGCCACCUUAUGUGAUUUCUUGCCACUGCACAUCAAACAGAGGUUAUAAUACUACCAUUUCCCCAUACUAAUGAAUAGCUUCAGCAUAGAUGGUUGCAGUGACAGAUAAAA